rnacentral:rRNA from 1 species
GAUGAACGCUGGCGGCGUGCCUAAUACAUGCAAGUCGAGCGAACAGACGAGGAGCUUGCUUCUCUGACGUUAGCGGCGGACGGGUGAGUAACACGUGGAUAACCUACCUAUAAGACUGGGAUAACUUCGGGAAACCGGAGCUAAUACCGGAUAAUAUAUUGAACCGCAUGGUUCAAUAGUGAAAGACGGUUUUGCUGUCACUUAUAGAUGGAUCCGCGCCGCAUUAGCUAGUUGGUAAGGUAACGGCUUACCAAGGCAACGAUGCGUAGCCGACCUGAGAGGGUGAGCGGCCACACUGGAACUGAGACACGGUCCAGACUCCUACGGGAGGCAGCAGUAGGGAAUCUUCCGCAAUGGGCGAAAGCCUGACGGAGCAACGCCGCGUGAGUGAUGAAGGUCUUCGGAUCGUAAAACUCUGUUAUUAGGGAAGAACAAAUGUGUAAGUAACUAUGCACGUCUUGACGGUACCUAAUCAGAAAGCCACGGCUAACUACGUG